rnacentral:rRNA from 1 species
CCUACGGGAGGCAGCAGUGAGGAAUAUUGGGCAAUGGAGGCAACUCUGACCCAGCCAUGCCGCGUGCAGGAAGACGGCCCUAUGGGUUGUAAACUGCUUUUAUACAGGAAGAAACUUAGCUACGUGUAGUUAACUGACGGUACUGUAAGAAUAAGCACCGGCUAACUCCGUGCCAGCAGCCGCGGUAAUACGGAGGGUGCAAGCGUUAUCCGGAAUCAUUGGGUUUAAAGGGUCCGCAGGCGGUCAAUUAAGUCAGAGGUGAAAUCCCAUAGCUUAACUAUGGAACUGCCUUUGAUACUGGUUGACUUGAGUUAUACGGAAGUGGAUAGAAUGUGUAGUGUAGCGGUGAAAUGCAUAGAUAUUACACAGAAUACCGAUUGCGAAGGCAGUCCACUACGUAUAUACUGACGCUCAUGGACGAAAGCGUGGGGAGCGAACAG